rnacentral:rRNA from 1 species
GACGAACGCUGGCGGCGUGCCUAAUACAUGCAAGUAGAACGCUGAAGGAGGAGCUUGCUCUUCUGGAUGAGUUGCGAACGGGUGAGUAACGCGUAGGUAACCUGCCUGGUAGCGGGGGAUAACUAUUGGAAACGAUAGCUAAUACCGCAUAACAGUAGAUGUUGCAUGACAUUUACUUAAAAGGUGCAAUUGCAUCACUACCAGAUGGACCUGCGUUGUAUUAGCUAGUUGGUGGGGUAACGGCUCACCAAGGCGACGAUACAUAGCCGACCUGAGAGGGUGAUCGGCCACACUGGGACUGAGACACGGCCCAGACUCCUACGGGAGGCAGCAGUAGGGAAUCUUCGGCAAUGGACGGAAGUCUGACCGAGCAACGCCGCGUGAGUGAAGAAGGUUUUCGGAUCGUAAAGCUCUGUUGUAAGAGAAGAACGAGUGUGGGAGUGGAAAGUUCACACUGUGGCGGUAUCUUACCAGAAAGGGACGGCUAACUACGUG